rnacentral:ribozyme from 1 species
CGAGAAAAGUGUCAUCUCUCGUCAGAACUCUCAGCAGGAGGAAAACACUUCCACCUGGUGGGUGGAAUGAUCAGAUGGGUCGGAGAUGGACAGGAGGAAAAGAGAGGGGCGAA